UACGGAGGGUGCAAGCGUUAUCCGGAUUUACUGGGUUUAAAGGGUGUGUAGGCGGACUUGUAAGUCAGUGGUGAAAUCCCGGGGCUCAACCCCGGAACUGCCUUUGAUACUAUAAGUCUUGAAUGUUGUGGAGGUGGGCGGAACGGGUCAUGUAGCGGUGAAAUGCAUAGAUAUGACCCGGAACACCGAUUGCGAAGGCAGCCCGCUACGCAACUAUUGACGCUGAGGCACGAAAGCGUGGGGAUCAAACAGG
rnacentral:rRNA from 1 species